AUUGAACGCUGGCGGUAGGCCUUACACAUGCAAGUCGAACGGCAACACACUAAGAGCUUGCGCUGACUGGUGGACGGUGGCGUAAUGGAUAGGAAUACACCCGGAUCUACUGUUUCACUACGGGAAAGGUAGGGUAAUACACCCUAAUACCUCAUAAUGACUACGGGGGAACGCAAGGCAUCGUCCGAUCGGACCCGCCUGAGUGAGCCGAUGUAGGAUUAGGUAGAUGGGGGGGUAAAGGCCCACCAAGGCGACGAUCCGUAGCUGGUCUGAGAGGAUGAGCAGCCACACUGGAACUGAGACACGGCCCAGACUCCUACGGGAGGCAGCAGUGGGGAAUAUUGGACAAUGGGCGCAAGCCUGAUCCAGCCAUACCGCGUGCAGGAAGAAGGCCUUCGGGUUGUAAAGUGCUUUUGUACGGAAAGAAACGCAGCUGGUUAAUACCCCGCUGUUCUGACGGUACCGUAAGAAUAAGCACCGGCUAACUUCGUG
rnacentral:rRNA from 1 species